AUUCCAGACUCCUACGGGAGGCAGCAGUGAGGAAUAUUGGUCAAUGGGCGGAAGCCUGAACCAGCCAAGUCGCGUGAGGGAUUAAGGCCCUGCGGGUCGUAAACCUCUUUUGCCGGGGAGCAGUGGUCCGGACGCGUCCGGACCGGGAGAGUACCCGGAGAAAAAGCAUCGGCUAACUCCGUGCCAGCAGCCGCGGUAAUACGUAGGGGGCAAGCGUUAUCCGGAUUUACUGGGUGUAAAGGGAGCGUAGACGGCAGUGCAAGUCUGGAGUGAAAGGCGGGGGCUCAACCCCCGGACUGCUCUGGAAACUGUACGGCUGGAGUGCAGGAGAGGUAAGUGGAAUUCCUAGUGUAGCUGUGAAAUGCGUAGAUAUUAGGAGGAACACCAGUGGCGAAGGCGGCUUACUGGACUGUAACUGACGUUGAGGCUCGAAAGCGUGGGGAGCAAACAGGAUUAGAUACCCUAGUAG
rnacentral:rRNA from 1 species